rnacentral:rRNA from 1 species
UUCGGGUUGUAAAGCUCUUUCACCCGGGAAGAUAGGGACUCUGCUAAUACCUUGCUGUUUUGACGUUUCCCUGAAAAUAACCACCGGCUAACUUCGUGCCAGCAGCCGCGGUAAUACUAAGGGUGCAAGCGUUAAUCUGAAUUACUGGGCGUAAAGCGUGCGUAAGCGGUUUGCUCAGUUGGAUGUGAAACCCCCGGACUCAACCUGGGAACUGCAUCCGUGACUGCUGGACUUGAGUAUGGCAAAGGGUGGUUGAAUUUCCUGUGUAACAAUGAAAUGCGUAAAGGUGUGAAGGAACACCGGUGGCGAAGGCAACCUUCUGGGCUAAUACUGACACUCAGGUGCGAAUGCGUGGGGAGCAAACAGGAUUAAAUACCCUGGUAGUCCACGCCCUAAACAUGUCAACUAG